GGGCGACUUUUCUGCCAGUGACGACGACCCGGGAUUCGCUCGCGGAUACGCCAGAGCCAAGAGCUUCGCCACAACGUCGUGGGUUUUGGUCAACUCGUUCGAAGAACUCGAGGGCAGUGCCACCUUCCAAGCUCUCCGAGACAUCUCUCCCAAAGCAAUCGCAGUGGGUCCACUUUCCACCAUGGUCCCCGGCUCCAGCAAUGCAAGCUUGUGGACGGAAGACACCGAGAGUUUAUCCUGGCUCGGCAAGCAAAGUCCCGGCUCGGUUCUCUACAUUUCCUUGGGCACCAUCGCGACUCUCAGCUUCGAUCAGUUCAAGGAGUUCUCCGAGGGACUGAGGCUUCUCCAGCGUCCGUUUAUCUGGGCCAUCCGACCCAAGUCGGUCGCCGGUAUGGAGCCCGAGUUCCUGGAGCGUUUCAAGGAGACCGUGAGGAGCUUUGGACUGGUUGUGAGCUGGGCUCCUCAGGUGGACAUCCUCCGCCACCCUUCCACGGCUGGAUUUCUCAGUCACUGCGGCUGGAACUCCAUCCUCGAGAGCGUAGCAUCCGCGGUGCCCAUGCUUUGCUGGCCGUGCGUCGCGGAGCAGAAUCUAAACUGCAAGCUAAUAGUGGAGGACUGGAAGAUCGGUCUCAAGUUCUCGCGCGUGGCCAUGCCGGAUCCUCACGAGGUGGGGGUAGCGAGGGACGAGUUUGUGGAGGUGGUGGUAGCGAGGGACGAGUUUGUGGAGGUGGUGGAGCGAUUCAUGGGUGCUGACAGUGAGCAUUUGAGGAUUAACAUCAAGAAGCUGAGCGAGGAGGCUCGUAGAGCAGUGUCUAGAGGUGGCUCCUCGUAUGAAAACCUGGAGAGAUUUGCUCAAGCAGUGAAAACUUCCUAAACUUUGAUCCAAAGUCAACUCUAUUCAAGAAUAUACUACCCUCGAUAUACUUCUUUCUCUCUCUCUCUCAAGAUUGGAUUGGAAAGACGAGAUAAGCACGCGCGUUGCGCGUAUAAUGGGUUCCAAGAUCACACCUCAUGUUGUCGCCGUUCCUCUCCCAGCUCAAGGCCACAUCUCUCCACUCUUGCAUCUCUGCCAAGCUCUCGCUUCUCAUGGAUCCAUCCUCAUCACUUUCGUCAACACGGAGGCCAAUCAAGACAGCAUCAAGGAAAUGCUGGGAGAUGGCGUCGAGGGCAUUCGCUUCGAGACCUUCCCCGGGCUGGAGGCGGCUUACCACGGCCUCGACUUGACCCAGCUCGAGAAUCGCCAGAUCUUCUACCGGGCUAUGGUCGACAUGGAAGCGCCAGUGGAGAGGCUGCUACGAGAGAAGAUCAUCGCCAAGGGCCCCCCUGUUUCGUGCAUCGUCUCCGAGUUGUUCCCCUGGAUGAGAGAUCUGGCGGCCAGAAUCGGAGUUCCAAGCGUUUACUUCUGGCCUACGAGUGCUGCUUGUGUUCUUCUGGAUUUUUCCAUUCCCUUGCUCUUGGAGAGAGGAGACAUACCCGUCGAAGGUAUGAUUAUCAACCAUGGUUCCUUACUUAUUUUCUUUUCCAUGGUUUCUUCCAGAUUUCUCUAUGGACAAAUCCAUCGAGUACGUGCGUGGCUUGUCACCAUUGCCUGUGUGGAGUCUUCCCCGGGUUUUUGCUUUCAGGGAUGAUCCAAGUUUCACUCGCAGGUACGAGAGGCUAAAAAACAUCCCCCAGAAUUCUUGGUUCCUGGCCAACACUUUCGAGGAGCUCGAAGGUGGCGCGCUUGAGGCCGUGAGAGAUUACAUCCCAAGGAUAAUACCCAUAGGUCCCGCGUUUCUAUCUUCACCAUCCAUGAAAAAUGCAAGCCUCUGGAAGGAAGACAACGAGUGCUUAGCAUGGCUCAACGAGCAAGAAGAAGGAUCCGUGCUCUACAUAGCUUUUGGUAGCAUCGCCACCCUGAGCUUGGAACAAGCUAAAGAGAUAGCAGCAGGGCUGGAAGAACUCCAGAGGCCAUUUCUAUGGGGGAUUCGUCCAAAGUCUGUGCCGGGUAUGGAGCCCGAGUUUCUGGAACCGUUCAAAGAGAGAGUAAGAAGUUUUGGGCGAGUUAUAACUUGGGCUCCCCAGCGAGAAGUUCUCCAGCAUGCUUCUAUUGGGGGAUUUUUCACUCACUGUGGAUGGAAUUCUGUGCUGGAAAGCAUGGCUGCUGGUGUGCCUAUGAUCUGCCACCCUUGCGUUGCGGAACAAAAUCUGAAUUGCAAGUUGGUGGUGGAAGAUUGGAAGAUUGGAUUGCGAUAUUCCAAUGUGGGAUCUGGGAAGCUUGUGGUGAGGGAUGAAUUUCAAAAGGUGGUGAAGAAAUUGAUGGAAGAUGACAAUGGUAUUGCGCAAUACAUGAGGAGUAAUGCAAAGAAGCUGAGUGAAGAAGCUAGAAAAGCAGUGUGUGUGGGGGGCUCUUCAUACCAAAAUCUGGAAAAUUUUAUCUUGUCACUAAAAUAAUAAUUUUAUUCCAAUAGUUUGCUUAAUUUAUGUAUGUAAGAAAGUCUUCAUUACUUCGGCAAAUCUCUCCAGGUUUUCAUACGAGGAGCCACCUCUAGACACAGCUCUAUGAGCCUCCUCGCUCAGCUUCUUCACGUUAAUCCUCAAAUGCUCACUGUCAGCUCCCAUGAAUCGCUCCACCACCUCCACAAACUCGUCCCUCGCCACCACCACGUCGCGAGGAUCCGACCUCGUCAUGUUCGAGAACUUGAGACCGAUCUUCCAGUCCUCCACCACUAGCUUGCAGUUUAGAUUCUGCUCCGCGACGCACGGCCAGCAAAGCAUGGGCACCGCGGAUGCUACGCUCUCGAGGAUGGAGUUCCAGCCGCAGUGACUGAGAAAUCCAGCCGUGGAAGGGUGGCGGAGGAUGUCCACCUGAGGAGCCCAGCUCACAACCAGUCCAAAGCUCCUCACGGUCUCCUUGAAACACUCCAGGAACUCGGGCUCCAUGCCGGUGACCGACUUGGGUCGGAUGGCCCAGAUAAACGGACGCUGGAGAAGCCUCAGUCCCUCGGAGAACUCCUUGAACUGAUCGAAGCUGAGAGUCGCGAUGGUGCCCAAGGAAAUGUAGAGAACCGAGCCGGGACUUUGCUUGCCGAGCCAGGAUAAACUCUCGCUGUCUUCCUCCCACAGGGCACUGUUGCGUGGUUCGGAGCCGGGGAUCAUGGUGAAAACAGGACCCACUGCGAUUGUUCUGGGAGAGAUGUCUCGGAAAGCUUGGAAUGCGGCACUGCCCUCGAGUUCUUCGAACGAGUUUAUCAAAACCCACGAGGUUGUGGCGAAGAUCUUGGCUCUAGCGCACUUGCCAGCGAAUCCCGGGUCGUCGUCAUUGGCAGAAAAGUCGCCCGGGAGGCUCCACAUUGGUAGUGGUGACAAGCCGUCUACGUAAGUUAUGCACUUCUCAAUGGAACGAUCUGGCGGAAGACGUUAGAGCUUCUCGAAAGAAGGAAAGGGAAAAAAAGAAAGAUACCUUGGACUGGAAUGUCUCCCUUCUCCAACAUUUGCGGAACCGCGCACUCGAGCAAAACGCAAGAGGCACUGGCAGUCCAGAACUUGACCUCUGGGAUUCCAAUCCUUCUUGUUACUUCCGCGGACCACGGGAAGAACAUAUCCGAGAUGAAGCACGAGACCGGAGGAACGAGAUCAUCGUCUCUGGCCAUGUUCCUGAUGAGCAAGCUCUCCACUGGAGCCUGCAUCUCCAUCACUGCCUCGGAGAACAUCCGCCGCUUCUCCGGGACCGCCAAGUCGACGUCGCUUGCUUGGAUGCCCGGGACCGUCUCGAAGCGAAUGCCGCCACCACAGCCAUAGCUCUCCUUCGAAACGAUGUUCUUCAAGUCCCGCUGGUUGCCCUCCGUGUUGAUGAAAGUUAUGCCUGUAGGAAUAAUGAUGAACACGACAAGCAGUCCGAAUCGUGAUCAGAUCUCUGGUGAUUUCUGAUUUGAUUGAAGUUGUAUAUAUAUACAGCCAUAAAUGAAUCAAUGCGUGUUGAAGUGAAAUUCCGUUGUUCUUGCUCCGCUUUUCUUUCUUGGUAUCGGAGUGCUGGUUUCUGAACUCUUUCUUCUCCUUUCUUUGUGCCUUGCAUCAUGAGCUGCAGCAAAGUUGGAUUGAUCUUGCUUCAGGGAGUCACUGCCUUUGAUGGGAGGAGAGGGUUCAACACUUGGUCCGAGAAAAUGAUGCGCGUGCUGCAGAUGGAAGAACUCUGGGAAAUCGUUUCACCACCAACAAUCGCUGCAGAUGCUCGUACGCGGCGAGCCCCUGCUGUGUUGGGAGCUUCAACUUCAGUGGAAGGAGAAGUCGUGGAUGAAGAGGCAAUUCGUGCCUCUGUUGCAGCAGCUCGACAACAGCUUGAUCCAGGGGAACAAGCUGCGCUGGAGAAGAAGGAAUCUCGAGCAAAAGGAUUGAUUCUUUCUAAGCUUGCAGAUGCCCUUAUGAUGCGUUUGCGUCAUAAGUGUGCUUGUGAGAUCUGGGCUCAUCUCCACAACAAGUAUGCUGUUCUUUCCCUCUCCAAGAUUAGCAUGGUCGAGACUUGCAUUCGUGAGACCCGUUUUCAUCCAGGUGAGAACUUUGAAGAGUUCCUCGCCAAGAUGCAAGAUCUGUGGAUGGAGCUUGAAGGCAGUCCAGCAGCGUUCAACGAAAGCAAGAAAGUUCUGGCACUUUGCGAGGCCAUGCAAGAUUCUUCUUUUAGUUCUUUCGUCCCUACCGUUCGCAUGAUGUCGCUCAACUUUGAACAAGCUGAGCAAACUUUACGCUCGGAGCUGGCUGCGAGAGGUUUAAUUGUGGACUUUGAUCAGAGGCCUUCCCAUGUUUUGAUCUCACAGUCUACAUCAAAUGCUUCUGCAUCAAGCAAUCAGUCAGGGACUGAUUCAGCUCUGUGGGCUGGAAAUCAUCGAGGCAGAGGAGGCCGCGGAAGAGGAGGACAAGGCAGAGGUCGCGGGUUUAGGGGAAAUCCGCAGCAGCAGCAGAAUUCAGGGAAUUCUGGUAAAGAAGCAGCAGUUCGGGAUUGUUUUGUGGGCAAGAACAAACAGGAAUGCUGGACCUGUGGGAUGCCAGGGCACUACUCCAAGGAUUGCCCAGUUGCAGCUUGGCUGCAGCGCAUGAACAUAGGGCUCGCAGCAAAUGCUCAGGAAGGGGAAACACAGGAACUUGUGGCAUCAUCUGAGGUAGCAGUUCCAAACGUUUCUGAAAAACUGACCAUCGAUUCAGGUUCAGAGAGACACCUGAUGCAAAGCGAGUCGAACUUUGUGCAGUUGCAUGCUGCAAAAGGGAAGUGCAUUCGUGUGGGAGAUGGAAGCAUUUUACCUGUUCGCGCAACUGGGGAUGUGCGAGUUCCACUGGGAAGAAAGUCUCUGCUCUUGAAGAAUGCGUGGUAUGUUCCAAAGAUAGUGAAGAAUCUGGUUUCUGUAGCCAGGCUUACGGAUGAAGGUCUGGAUGUGAAUUUCUCCAAACAUCAAUGUCAAGUUCUUGCAAAUGGCCGUCCAUUACUGCAUUUUCCCAGAUGUGGUAACCUGUUUGAGAAGGAGAUAGCUUCUGGAGAAAAAUCGAAUGCUCCUGAGAUAUGCAUGACUGCAGAUAGUUCUCUCUGGCAUUCUCGACUUGCACAUGCCAAUCCCCCUCUCAUCAGGCGUAUGCAGAAGCAAGAGCUUGUGGAUGGCUUCAACGACCACGUUCUUCAAAGUUCAGCAAAAUGUCACACUUGCAUUCUUGGCAAGCAAACCCGUCGUACUUUCAAACCUGCUGUGACCAGAAGCACUUGUCCCUUGCAGCUCAUUCACUCAGAUGUUUGUGGACCCAUGCGACUGUUUGCUCAGAAUGGCACGAAGUAUUUUGUGACAUUUACAGAUGAUUUCUCCAGGCACACGGACGUCUUCUUUCUUCGUCACAAAGAUGAAGUCUUUAGCAAAUUCAAGCAAUUCGUAGUAGAAGCCGAAGUGAAAACUGGUCAGAGGGUUGGUUGUUUACGUACUGAUUCAGGAGGGGAAUACGUCAACAAGUCCUUUCAGCAGUUCUGUGCUGAACGAGGAAUUCUUCAUCAGCGCUCUUGCUCUCAUACCCCUCAACAGAAUGGAGUCUCUGAGCGCAAGAAUAGGACAAUCAUGAACGCAGUUCGGUGCUUCCUUCAAGAAUCAGGACUACCAAAAUUCCUCUGGGCUGAAGCAGUUGGAUCAGCUGUGCAUGUUCAAAACCUUCUCCCUCAUUCUCGCAAUCCCAACAAGAUCCCAGAAGAGCUUUGGACUGGUCAAAGACAAUCGGUGGUGCAUCUUAGGCGUUUUGGUUGUUUAAGCUUUGCAAAAAGGGUGGAUGAGCAUCUUGGCAAGUUGGAGAGCAGAAGCAAGCUGGCCUUUCUUGUUGGAUACGAUUCCAAUUCAAAAGGAUAUCGCCUGUACCAGCCUGGUAAUCAUCAAAUCUUUGUAAGCACUGAUGUUCGUUUUGAUGAAGGAACACUCUACAAAGAUCAUGUUCAAGAAGAAGGAAGCUCAGAUCAGAACAUGAACUGGACUCCGGAAGAAUGGAGUUGGGAUGGUGUUGAAGACGGUGAUGAAGAUGACGAUGAUCUGACAAUCAUCUAUCCCUCAUCUCCUUUAGCAGAUGAUCAUCCAACACCAAUCUCUGGAUCUUUUCUUCCUGAAGAACAGGGCGAUACUACUCAUCGUGCACGAACUGGAGAAGUCGACAGGCUCACACGAGAUCUACCAUUCAAUGUGGAGAACUAUGGGCGGACAUCAUCUAGACGAUCAAGCAGAGCACCUCAUCCCAAGCAAUGGUCUUUUGCAGCAACAGAAAUAGCUUCUGAACCAGUCAACUUUGAGCAGGUGAUUCAAGCUCCUGAUGCAGAUAAGUGGAUUUCAGCAAUGCAAGAUGAGUUGAAUUCUCUUGAUGAGAACCAGACUUAUGACUUGGUGGAAGCUCCUGAAGGACGUGAAGUUGUUGGAUCACGCUGGGUGUUCAAGCUUCACAGAAAUCCUGAUGGAUCAGUACAGCGUUACAAAGCAAGACUUGUUGCUCAAGGAUAUUCACAAGUUCCUGGAGUGGAUUUUGAUGAGACGUUCUCACCAAUUGUGAAGCAGACAAGUAUCAGAAUGCUUCUGGCUUUUACAGCGGAGUUUGGUUUGUGCGCACAUCACAUGGACGUAAAAACAGCCUUCCUUAAUGGGAACUUGAAGGAGGAGAUAUUUAUGCGGCAACCCCCAGGCUUUGAGCUUUUUGGAUCACGGUGCUCCGAACUCGUCUGCAAGCUUCGCAAGGCUCUUUAUGGCCUUAAGCAAGCUUCCCGUCAGUGGUAUGAAUGUUUGGAUUCUUUUCUUAUGGAUCUCGGUAUGCAGAGGUUGAACAGCGAUGGAAAUCUAUAUCUUCUUAGCAACAAUCACACUGUUUUGAAGGAUGUGAAGAUCAAGCUUAUGAACAGGUUUGUGAUGAAGGACUUAGGAGCUGUGCGGCAGCUGUUAGGGAUGGAAGUUGACAGGGAUGAAGCAGACAGGACAAUCACCCUCACACAGUGCCAAUAUGUGAAGAAGCUUCUCAACCAGUUCAACAUGACAAGUUGCAAAUCCGUGGCUACACCAGUCGUCACUGGCAUCAAGUUCACAAGCAAGAUGGAUGAUUUAUUUGAUCAGCCCUCGGUCUAUCGAUCGCUUGUUGGAGGACUACUCUACCUCGCCAACAUGACUCGCCCUGACAUCUCCUUUGCCGUUGGUCUCCUCAGCCGAUACAUGCAGUCUCCGAGUUGUUAUCAUUGGCAGAUGGCGAAGAGAGUUUUGAGAUAUUUGAAAGGAACAGCUGCUCAUGGAUUGGUUUACAAAUGCUCAGGUCAAUCCAAACUUGUUCUUCAAGCUUACUGCGAUGCAGAUUGGGCUGGCAACUUGGAUACACGACAUUCAACCUCCGGAAUUUGCUGCAUAAUUGCUGGUGCUCCGGUUUCAUGGGGAAGCAAGAAGCAAACGACGGUUGCUCUUUCCAGUGUAGAAGCAGAAUACGUAGCUGCCAGUACAGCAGCAAGGGAGAUCAUCUGGCUUCGUCGAUUACUUGGAGAACUCAAUCAACAGCAAUCAGAUGCGACCAUUCUGCAUUGCGACAGCAGAAGUGCAAUCGCCAUGUCAAAGAAUCCUGUGUUUCAUGCUCGUACGAAACAUAUAGACGUGCAGCAUCACUUCAUUCGCGAACAUGUAGCAGCCAGAGAUCUUCACCUGGAAUACGUUCCUUCACAGUAUCAGUUGGCGGACCUUCUAACCAAGCCACUUUCGGAGCUCACAUUCAUCAAGCUGAGGAAUCAACUUGGAGUGUCAAGCACACCCUCAGCUUGAAGGGGGAGUGUAGGAAUAAUGAUGAACACGACAAGCAGUCCGAAUCGUGAUCAGAUCUCUGGUGAUUUCUGAUUUGAUUGAAGUUGUAUAUAUAUACAGCCAUAAAUGAAUCAAUGCGUGUUGAAGUGAAAUUCCGUUGUUCUUGCUCCGCUUUUCUUUCUAUGCCGAAGCCUCGCGAGGCCAGAGCUCUUGAGAGGUGGAGGAGUGGGGAGAUGUGGCCUUGGGUUGGAAUGGGAAGAACCGCUGCGUGAGGAGCGAGCCUCCUGGCACCAGUCGAAGAGCCCAUUGACGGAGAAAAGGAAAAGCUAAACAGUUCUCAAGCUUUUACUUCUUGUGUGCUCUCACGACGAAGGCAAAACAGGCUGGAUCCAGUGCUCCACAUUGUGCUAUCGUCAACUUAUAAGCUACCACCCAAAAUGUUCAAAGAUUGAAAGUUCUUCACCUUUGCUACUCUUCCAUUGCUUGGUGCCUUGAGGACGAGGAUGGAAAUUCUGGCCUGGCAAAGUAAAGCCUGGAAUCCAUUUGCUUAGUGCUUGUGUGUACACGAUCAAAGAGAGAACUGAAUUGCUGCUGUCUUGUUUCCAUCAUCAUACCAAGAGAAAAAGUGCUAAACAGCGAAACAGCUGGCCAAGGAAAAACGACAGACAACCGAAUCGAACUACAGACCAUCUUUAUAUUAUAUAAUAUAAUGUUUAUUUAAAUUUUCUAAGUAAAAAAUAAUAACUGAUCUUUUUGAACAACUUAUCAAAGAAACAUUAUUUUAAUAAAGAAUGAAAUUUAUUUUGAAAUCUCAUGAGCAACAUAAAUGAAAAAAUAGGUAUUAUGAAUAGUUAUCCUGCAUGAUAAAAUAUUCAGACAAAAAUAAUUGUAUAAAUAAUAAAAUUAAAAAAGAAUAUAUUCAUAGACAAAGAACCUAGGUUGGAAUUUUUCUGGACCGCCAGUGCCUCUUGCGUUUUGCUCGAUUGCUCGUUUCCGCGAAUGCUGGAGAAGGGAGACGUUCCAGUCCAAGGUAAAGCUUCUUUCUUCUUUUUUAUUUGUCCUUCUUUCGAGAAGCACUAACGUGUUCCGCCAGAUCGUUCCAUUGAAAAGUACAUCACUUACGUAGACGGCUUGUCACCACUGCCAAUCUGGGGCCUCCCGCGCGACCUUUCUGCCAUUGACGAAUCAAGAUUCGCUCGCAGAUACGCUAGAGCCAAGAGCUUCGCCACAACAUCGUGGGUUUUGGUCAACUCGUUCGAAGAACUCGAGGGCAGUGCCACCUUCCAAGCCCUCCGAGACAUCUCUCCCAAAACAAUCGCAGUGGGUCCUCUUUUCACCAUGGCCCCCGGCUGCAACAAGGCAAGCUUGUGGAAGGAAGACACCGAGAGUUUAUCCUGGCUCGGCAAGCAAAGUCCCGGCUCGGUUCUCUACAUUUCCUUGGGCAGCAUCGCCACUCUCAGCUUCGAUCAGUUCAAGGAGUUCUCCGAGGGACUGAGGCUUCUCCAGCGUCCGUUUAUCUGGGCCAUCCGACCCAAGUCGGUCGCCGGCAUGG
rnacentral:lncRNA from 1 species